AGGUAUCAUCUUCAUUCUUCAGACGAAAUAAACAAGUGAACAUCUAAUUUCUUUUAAGAGGAUUAAGUUGAUUUCUUUGAUUCAACUAUGGAGGAAUCAGGAUCAACACCAGCUUCCGUUAACUCAAAUGCAUUGUUGCCACCACUACAUCCUCCUCCAAGAUCUUCUAACGCCUCUACUGAAGUUAGUUCAGUUGCAAAAGUACCAACUGCUGGUGAAGCUCCAUCUGCACCAGCUGCCAAUGUUUCCGAUGCUGGUACCAUCACUGUCACUGCACCAGCUUCUAAGAAGCGGAAG